AAAGCUGCAGGAAAAAAAUUCCUGAAUGAACUCCAAUCAGUUGUCUUAUAAUUCAGUAAAGAACUAGCAUUAAUCAAACAUAGGUGUGGAUUAGAGCAUAACUAUAUGCAGAUCAGACCAGUAGAACAACAGAAACAGCAACCGCAAGUUGAGUAGAACAUGUAGAACAACAUCUGUAGGAGGGGUAGAUCUUACAUAACGUGAAGAAGACUUCAUCUGCAGGGAUGAACUCCACACCAGCAAUAGCUUUGAUAUCGCGGGGCAGGUUCUUAUAAAAAAAACUCAUCAACAGGAAAGAGAAGACCAACCACAGGCUUGUAGCUGAUGGAUAGAUCAUCCACUGUAGAGAAAAACAUGAUCCAGAAAUCAUAUCAUGAUCUGAUAAAAAACACUUCAAGAAUCAGCCACCGCAAG